UACGUAGGGUGCAGGCGUUAAUCGGAAUUACUGGGCGUAAAGCGUGCGCAGGCGGUUUGCUAAGACAGGUGUGAAAUCCCCGGGCUUAACCUGGGAAUUGCAUUUGUGACUGCACGGCUAGAGUGUGUCAGAGGGGGGUAGAAUUCCACGUGUAGCAGUGAAAUGCGUAGAUAUGUGGAGGAAUACCGAUGGCGAAGGCAGCCCCCUGGGAUAACACUGACGCUCAUGCACGAAAGCGUGGGGAGCAAACAGG
rnacentral:rRNA from 1 species